AAUUUUACAUAUGGUAGUUAAUCUUUUAAGGUAUCAGACAACGUGUUAUAAAUCUUGAAUUCCACAUAGUGUAGGUUUUUAUAAAGAGCUAGCUUUGAAAGGAUAACGCUAAUUACGUUAACUGCAGCCGAUGGAUCCAAAAAAAAAAACAGAAUGACUU